rnacentral:pre_miRNA from 1 species
UCUUAUGGAUGAGCAAAUAAAGUGGUUUCUUGAGAUGGAAUUUACUUCAUUUGAAGAUGUUGUGAA